GGACUAGGCAGGCGUGCAGCCAGGGACCCAGCGGAACAGGAGAGCCACUCCCUCCCCACCUGGCAGGGUCCUUGGUGGUCUGAGUGGGGAGCCGGCUCUUUCCUGAAUGGAGGCAUGAGGGGAGUUGGCAGGUUCGCUGGGUCCUUCCGGAAUGGAGGCAGGAGGGAGCUGGCAGGUUCGCUGGGUCCUUGUCCGUCUGAGAAGAACAAGGCUUCCUUGUUAGCAUCCCUGCCUCCCUGGAACAAAGGGGCAGGCAGCCACCAAGGCGCUCUCCAGGGCUCCCACCUCCUCAAGUUCACAGCCAAGGUGUACCUGCACCCACAGAACCCAUGGAUGACCAGCAGCCCACCCUGUACAGCUGGCCCACCGUGUGUCCGUGUGCAUCUCCUGCUGGAGCCCCAAGCCCUCAACCCCAAGAGUGAACUCAUGAUCAUUUAAAGGCUGCCCUGGGACUCCCCAGUGGUCCAGUGGUUAAGACACGCUGCUUCCACUGCAGGGGGCAGUGGGUUCAAUCCCUAGGUGGGGAACUAACUGGCCAAAAAAAAAGUAAUGCCCCAUAAAUAUUUAUACAAAAUGGAAUAAAAUAAGAAAAGCCUGCCCCUCCCACCUCUGCUCCCUCCCAGGUACCUGCAGCUCCAUCCUUUGAGGUGAGCCAACCAAAGCCCUGGGGCUCUGUAGCUCCCUCCCUCCCUCAAAUCCGCUUGCAGACCUUGUUGUUUCUAGUUUUAAAGUAGACCCAGAAUCCCUGCUUCUCGCCCACUCUCCCGUUCCUGCUCAGCUGGCCCCACCAUCCCCCGGUCCCCAAUUCCCCCUCCCAUCUUCACUCCCCACAUUCCUACUCACCAUCGCCCUAUCAUCUCCCUAUCAUCCAUCACCCCUCCCUCACCCCUCCAAGACACCCCCAUCUCCACCCCUUAAUUCCCCUUUCCCAGCGUCCCAGUGCUGCCCAUGGCCUGUUCUUCCCGAAACCGCCAGAGGGCGCUUGUGAGCAGAGAGUGAGGCGCGUCCCUGCUCUGCCCCCUCCACCCCGCCCUCCACACCUUCCCCUGCCGUGGCAAUCGAGCCUUCCGCGUCCCCGGGCCCUCACCUCCUGCCCCAGUCCCUCGCUCAUCCUCCCUGCGGCCCCUCCCACCUGCCAGGCGCAGGGCUGUCUGUCCCAGGGCCUUUGCACAGGUGGUGCUCCCUCUCACCAGGUCUCCCUGCUCUCUCCGUGACUCCUCCCCACUGAGGCCUCCUAGGCUGCACACCCACAGCUCUGGCCCCUUCUGACUACCCCCUCCCACCCCGUUCUUCUCCAGGGCACUACUUGCCUGCCUAAGUGGAAAGAAGAGGCGGGGAGGUUGUGUGUUUCGUUCACCCCUAUUUCUCCUGUACCGGAAACUGCCUGGUGCGCAGCUCUGUCCUGGUGGAAUUAGUAGUUCUGAUGAGGGCUGUUAUCAGAGGAGCACUGGCCGUAUUUAGGCCUCGGCUUAGCCAGGCAGCCUCACUGGUUUCUGCCCGCACCGGGGCCUCGCGGCUGGGCCUGAGUCCCGCUCUCACACCCAGCUGAGCUUCCGUUUUCAAGUUCUCUGACUUGCCCUCUGCUGCCCAUGUCAGUUUGGAUUAAAAUGCGGCUUGUUCCCGUGUAGACUUUGACUUGUUCACAUCUCAGCCCGCCUGCUGGAGUGAAGAUUUCUGGGCUAAAGAGAGAGAAUCCAGCCAGGAGUGGUGGCCAGGCGGGCUAGUGGGGGAUGAACUCUAUUGAGGAGGGGCCUGGGCCUGGGGGUCCCCCAAACACCCUGCACAGGCUCAGGCUGCCUGUCCUUCCUAUUCACUGCCCCCACCCCCCAACUCUGUGUUAGCUCUUGGCUUCUCAUAGUCAGAAAGGGGAACGGAGCCCUGGAUGGAUUCUGAAUGUAGGGUCUCAUCCCAGAGGGGCUGGGUCACAGAGAGGAAAUGGAGGUGGUGGGAGCCGAGUCCAGUGUCUCCAGCUCUCUUCACUCCAGGGCUGACCGAGGGAGCCUGGGCUGGGGGCCCAGAAAUGGGGAGGGCUGGGUCCUUCCACCCCCUGUCCUGGGCCCCAAGGCUGACCAGUUCCUGGGCUCCUGCACAUCUAGCCAGUGUGGGUCCCUGAGAGGCGCCCAUGGACAGGAGGAGAAGGAGGUGGGUAUUCAUCCCCCAUCUCCCACUUCUGUCCAUGACUCUGCUAAGGAGCACAUAGCUCAUUGAGUGUCGGGGCGACCGGUGCCUGAGGAUCGAGCUGGCUGUGGGCUGAUGGGCAGAAGUGAGCAUCUCUGGGGAGGGGAGCAGGUGAAGGCCCAGAGGUUCCCAUUCAAGGGGCAGGAAGCCGGCUGAUGUGGCCACAAGGUCGUGGACGAGGGCUGAAGGCUAGGAGUCCAGGGCAGAGGGGAGCAGGGAUGAGACAGGGAGGACUUGGGUUUUAUCCUUAGGAUGAGGGAAAUCCAGAGAUUCAGCAUACCCAGAAAACUGAGCAGGAAUUAGAACCCCGGGAGAAACCCUCGAUGCCAAGCUUUGCUCUAAAACCUGAGUCAGAAUUCCGUGCAAUCCCCCACCCCCACUGCCCCCUUCCCCUGACUCGCCCUCCCUCCCUCCCCACUGUCUCCCCUCCUGUGACCAGAGGAGGUCAGAAUCCACACCUCUCAUGCAAUGCUAGGAUAAUUAAACACUGCGAUGCUGGGCCAGGAUGCCUGAGUCCCAAGCUAGUAACCUGGUGACUGGGAUACGGUAAAUGCCUCUGGCUUCACACAGACUCGUUUCCCCCAGAGCCUGCAAGUCUGCAGUGCUGCCGGCCUCCUGUCCCAAUGUUGUCAUUCAUUC
rnacentral:lncRNA from 1 species